rnacentral:snoRNA from 1 species
ACCCUCUUAGGAUCGCACCUGGAAAGUUUCCAGUACUCUACCAGUCACUACUACAGGAGGGAGAGUCGAGCAGAGGCUUGUCCAUUCCAUUCCUAGCUUGGGCAGUGGCUAGUGAGUGGAAGGCAACCUGCUCCAAGU